rnacentral:tRNA from 2 species
GAGCUACUAGUAAAAUAUUACAUAAUCUUGUCAAGAUUAAAUUACAGGUGAAACUCCCGUGUAUCUCU